CGGGCGGUCGGCCGGCCGGUCGGUCGCGUGCGGGGUGGGCACAUAAAUCCGGUGAGGCGGCGGGGUGAGGGCUCCCUUGCUUCGCUCGCUCCGACUGGUAAAGCGUGCCUCCGUGGCUCCUGAGCUCGGUACCGCGACGGCGACCAGGACGACCAAGACGAGCGGCGGCACCGCCGCCGCUCCCUCCGCGUGCCCAUGCACCGCAUGUUGUGCUCGCGCCCCUGCCACCGGCCCGACGACUUGCACGUGGACCACGGCGUGAGGGUGCUGCUGCAGCCGACCGAGUUCUGGCAGCUGGUCAUGAUGCAGCCCAGGUUGUUGAGGUAGGUCCCGCGCACGCACUACUUGUGCGACCUGAGGCACCACCUGCGUGACCGCUCCCUGGGACCGGCGUUCAAGCAGCAGCGCCUCGUCCGGAAGAAGGUUUCCACCACCCAUCUCUUUUCGGGUUUUUACGUCCGGUAUCACGUGUUCGAUCAACUAAGACCAGUCGAGCUCAAGUAUUUACCACCCACCACAUACGUACUACUUCGACGGUGGGUAAUAUAACUGUACUAACUAGUCUGGUGUGAACCAGUAGCCCACUAAUUUUUUGUUAAGUUGUUCUGAGGUUCUCGACCGACCGUUUAGCUAGGAAAGCCAGUAAGACGACACGUUCGAAUAAACGAUCCUUGUCUCGAACCAAAACUAAGACACGUGAAACGUUCUUAACUAAUGGUUCUAUCCCGUUUCGCAUUUCUGCUAUUUCCGGACCUUCAAUAUACCGUCCCGAGUUCUUGUAAACCAAGUAGAAGAGUCUAGAAAUGCUUACGUAAAGGACAGGUAAUAUCGGGAGGGCUACCCAAAUCAAAACUUCAAAACUUACUGUACUGUGGACAAGUCCUACUGGGCAACGACAAACUGUGAUUACAACUUGUUGCGCAAUUACUAAAACAAAGACGUCGGUAUCGUGUCCGUUUGCAAUGCGCAUGUUUGGUGUAUUACACCUGGUACCCACUACUAAAAUUAAUAGUCAUACGACUUAGGACCAAGGCCUUAUACCUAUCUGAAUAAGUAAUGUACUUGUUCCUACCUGCUCACGUACGCGACAUAAGAUGAGGUAGGUAAAUGUGACUACGUUUUGUACGUAGUUUACUUAGAACCGGUGAGUUUGCGCUACUAAUAAAGGGUAUACGACUAAGUUGUUUACGAAUGACCUGACCCAUAAAAUGAUCGGCAGGUUGAAAGUUCCCUAUACAAGCUUACGAGUCACCUAUAAUGGACCGACGUGCAGUUUAUCUUAAAGAACACCCUCCUAGUAAGUGAAGAUCGAACCUUCUGGGUGACCCUUAGCGGGUCGUAGUACUACGGCAGAGUCCUUGUCGUUUUGUUGUGUGUUGACUACUAAUGAGCUUUGCGGAACGAGAGCCUCGUAGAGUCCAACUCUUUCCACAUUUAUGACGAGACCGAACAGACUGUUCGAGAUUCCCUUGUACAUACAGAGGUCGUCAUUUCAAGUCAGUCACGGUUGACGAGUUAUAUUCGAUGACGGGAAGUUGACUCCUUGUUUAAAGUCCUCCUUUCCCAAAUCAAUAUUGACGAAUAUUAGGAGAACCCACCCUUGUAUCACUGAAGUAUGCCCAAGGCCAGUUACUGAAUGUGGAUCAGCAUUUUUCGAGACUACCUUCAAAACAGCUAAGUGUUGAUCAACUCCAUCUAUUACACUGAUCGUUAAAUUCCUUCAACAUACACUUCCGAAUAGAGCCUUAGUUAUGUCUGUUUGGGGGCUUUAUAACCGAUCACAAAGUUCGAAGACACGGUGGUUACCCUACCUUAUGAAUAAAGCAGAGUUUCGGGUUCCCUCGUCCUAGAUUGUCUUACCCCAUACAGAGUUGGUAGCGAAGAGGUUCGUUUCUGUGUCAACUUCAACCUGGUCCCAGAGAUUUCUACUGUAAAAGCAGUCUUAGACCUGUUGAAUGCGCCUACAAGUUAAGAUAGUGUCCUCACCUAAAUGGUUAAGUUGUCUCGAAAGAAACCAUACCAAGUUUAUUACCACUACCGCGCCUAAGUGUCCGUAGACCUCGAAUAUAAAAAUCUGGUCUACCCAGAUGUGGCUGACAACAAAGUUCUAGCCAUGGCAAUUUUCAGUAGGCACCUGGAGACCAACUACUUCAGGUGGUCGUUAAGUCGGGCACCUAAAUAGUCCAAUGUUCUGAUAUAUUCCUAUUCCUCGUACGACUUCAUCUUAUGUGCUAACCCGGUUAGGGCCAGUUACUACCGUAUCCUUUCCUCCAGUAGUGUUCUGACUGUCGUUUAUACCAGUGUUUGGUGUGAAAAAUAUGUCUAAGCUUACCUUCCCUAAAAGAGUUCUCCCACUCUCUGAUGUCCCUUCUAACCCUAGAAGUUCACUGAGUUGGCCAACGUCCUUUAAUGAUAGGGUAGUUAGAGCCUUACAUACAUUGUCUACCCUUUAUACUUGAAUCACAGGAACAACUAGCACGACAACCUCGAAGUUCGUAAGUCCUACCAGUUUAUCUUUACUACAAGGUGUCCGCAUAUGAAGUACUACUACCGUCUCCACACCUCCUCGGUGACCUACUUUGACAAACACAACUGUCUUUUACACUACCCGAGCACCGAUCCCCAUGAAUAAUACAGUUACAGUUGUUCGAACCUGUACCUCGAGUGACCGCCUCCUGUGUUCCUGUUUUUCAAAUAAGUGGGAAAGAAGAACCAAAGCGAGUACUCCUACUCUCGUCAACCUUUAGGAUGUCACAACACUUUCGCUCGUACUACUUACGUUUAAUGUCAGAAGGACUAUUACACCGUUAGUAGUGGAACGUCUCAGAGCUACUACCAUGGCGUGAAGAGGCGAACCGUGUAAACAAAGUCCGACGCCUCCUGGGUGUCAUGAGUCACUACCGUUUUCAACUUGACUUUUUUAACAAACCUUUCUUUUGAUAGUUCCUUACCUGACUUUGAUUGGACAGACGGUUGGUUUUCUUCCGCCGCUACUCCUUCGAGUUCACCUCCCAACAGCCUCUGUGGCUUUCACCAGGACGGGGUUAAUGGCCAUCGGGCCAACUGUCAGUUAGGGAACAACAGCUCGACCCCGGGUACCUCUAUGCGUGUAAGAACGACUUUGACACUCGACGUUUUUUUCUCUAUAGAAAUACAUUAAGGUAUGUACAAGAUCCUCUAGUAACACGGAAAGUAAAGACACUCGUUCAUGGAAGACUAUCAAUACAGGAACAUGUCGUUAUUUACACGGGUCAGUGUUGAAAGGGUCGUUUACACGGAAGGCAAAGAUACUUCUUACUGAACACUCGA
rnacentral:rRNA from 1 species